UCUUAUGGAGGAGCAAAGAAAGUUGUUUUCUUGAGAUGGAAUCUACUCCUGGCGAAGAUUCUGUGAA
rnacentral:pre_miRNA from 2 species